GAUGAACGCUGGCGGCGUGCAUAACACAUUCAAGUCGAACGGAGUUGUUGUUUUAGAUCCCUUCGGGGUGACGGAGCUUCAACUUAGUGGCGGACGGGUGAGUAACGCGUGAGCAACCUGCCCUUGCGUGGGGGAUAACGUUUGGAAACGAACGCUAAUACCGCAUAACGUAUUCUUAUUGCAUGGUUUGAAUACCAAAGAUUUAUUGCGCAAGGAUGGGCUCGCGUCUGAUUAGGUAGUUGGUGGGGUAACGGCCCACAAGCCGACGAUCAGUAGCCGGACUGAGAGGUUGAACGGCCACAUUGGAACUGAGAUACGGUCCAG
rnacentral:rRNA from 1 species